UGCCUUUGUGUUGUCUGUUCAUUGCUCUCUAAAAUGAACACGGUGUCAAAAACGGCAAACAGGAAUUCUUGCUCAGACUGUGAAAGGAGCUGUCUGUUUGCCAUCCUCCUCCCUGCUUUGGCAAGGACAGAA
rfam:Colinus virginianus strain Texas jcf7180006226934, whole genome shotgun sequence.